rnacentral:rRNA from 1 species
GAAUGCAGCUAAAUUAGCUUUGUUUCAGGCUCAGGAGGAUGUUGGGUUUCGAUGCCAGCUGUCAAAAGCCGAUAGGUUUUGACUGUUGGAUAGUGUUCAACUCCUCUGCAUUCCUGUGCACAAGCUAGCCAACAACAGUUGUCUGUGGCUGAUGAGGGCAGGUGGGUAGGUAGUUCACUGAAAUUCAGAGAAAACGUAUAGCCAUCUGUCUGGAAGUCUGCGGAUGACUGAGGAAAACUGGUAGCACAGGCCCUCUGGGUUUGGGCCGCUUCUGGUCGUUCUGGGUACCACUUGUGGGACUGCUUGCAGUGCCAUUCGAUGGUUGUCUGCUCGAGCGGGAGACUGGUCACACCUUGUGCUGUAGUUGUUGGUGUUCAAAUGGCUGCAUCCGACC